CUUCAACCCUUCGGAGGCAUAUCCUGAACACUUAUGCUUCCAAACACAACACGCGAAACGAAGAGAUGCUACGAGGAAGGCAAGCCCAUUGGACAGUCCAGUAUCUGUAUAGGGUCCCACUGUAAGUCCUUAGCAACAAACGUGGGCACCGCCGAAAUAGUCCGAUUCGUGAAGGAGCCCGAAAGUGACGGAUCUUGGCAAUCACCAACGAGAAGUUAUCCAUUUAAACCAUGCCGGUUGGAUGGGAAAUGUAUUUUGUCCUCCACCUACAGGAGAACCUAUUAACUUAAUAAAAUACUGUAUUUUGUAUAUUAACUUAUUAUCUGGCAUUGCUAGUGUGCAUUUCUGAU
rnacentral:lncRNA from 1 species